ACACCUCAACUCUCAUGGUUUGCCCAUGAUGAGCUUGGACUUCUGGAGGUUUUGCUGGCCUGUGGUCGGCUCCUCUCAAAUGGAUCAGCUUACCAGUGUUUGGUGGCGUCAUGGGUGUGAUAACUAUCUACGCUUGUGGUCGUCUGCCAGGUAACCUUCAGCGAUGGAGGUUUGCUGGGGCUUACAGAUGUCUUUCCUCAGUGAAGACAGCAUUUUGAAC
rnacentral:misc_RNA from 1 species